AUUGAACGCUGGCGGCAGGCCUAACACAUGCAAGUCGAACGAGUGGCGGACGGGUGAGUAAUGCUUGGGAAUCUGCCUGAUGGAGGGGGAUAACUACUGGAAACUGUCGCUAAUACCGCAUACCAUCGGAUGUGCCCAAAUGGGAUUAGGUAGUGGGUGGGGUAAAGGCUCACCUAGGCGACGAUCCCUAGCUGGUCUGAGAGGAUGACCAGCCACACGGGAACUGAGACACGGCCCAGACUCCUACGGGAGGCAGCAGUGGGGAAUAUUGCACAAUGGGCGCAAGCCUGACGCAGCCAUGCCGCGUGUAUGAAGAAGGCCUUCGGGUUGUAAAGUACUUUCAGCGGGGAGGCGUUACCCGCAGAAGAAGCACCGGCUAACUCCGUGCCAGCAGCCGCGGUAAUUC
rnacentral:rRNA from 1 species